CACGUGAGUAACCUGCCCUUAACUCUGGGAUAAGCCUGGGAAACUGGGUCUAAUACCGGAUAUGACUCCUCAUCGCAUGGUGGGGGGUGGAAAGCUUUUUGUGGUUUUGGAUGGACUCGCGGCCUAUCAGCUUGUUGGUGAGGUAAUGGCUCACCAAGGCGACGACGGGUAGCCGGCCUGAGAGGGUGACCGGCCACACUGGGACUGAGACACGGCCCAGACUCCUACGGGAGGCAGCAGUGGGGAAUAUUGCACAAUGGGCGCAAGCCUGAUGCAGCGACGCCGCGUGAGGGAUGACGGCCUUCGGGUUGUAAACCUCUUUCAGUAGGGAAGAAGCGAAAGUGACGGUACCUGCAGAAGAAGCGCCGGCUAACUACGUGCCAGCAGCCGCGGUAAUACGUAGGGCGCAAGCGUUAUCCGGAAUUAUUGGGCGUAAAGAGCUCGUAGGCGGUUUGUCGCGUCUGCCGUGAAAGUCCGGGGCUCAACUCCGGAUCUGCGGUGGGUACGGGCAGACUAGGGUGAUGUAGGGGAGACUGGAAUUCCUGGUGUAGCGGUGAAAUGCGCAGAUAUCAGGAGGAACACCGAUGGCGAAGGCAGGUCUCUGGGCAUUAACUGACGCUGAGGAGCGAAAGCAUGGGGAGCGAACAGGAUUAGAUACCCUG
rnacentral:rRNA from 1 species